GAAAGAUACAAGAAAGCUGAGCACACAGGAUAUCUUUAUUUCAGUUAAAUACUUGUCUUCUUGCUGCUGCUAUGAAUAAGACGAAGAUGUGGACCAGGCGACAAUAUGGUGGGGUGACUAUGUAACUGAUUGAUUAGCCAUAAGCUGUGGUUUAUGUCCUUUGCUCAGGGGUUCUGCCCUAACUGAUUUCUGUCCCAAAUCAGUAUUUUAAACCAUGAAUUGGAUGAUGACAUUUUUAUCAAGUUUCCAUGUCAGAACCCCAAAAAGGCUAAUAUUUGGAAAAGGCAGCCUUCUAAAUGAUCUCGACGUGUAUGAAAUAAUGGAUUGACUCUAACAACCUAAGCUUACUAGUAACAAAUAUGAAUUCCUUUGCAUGGGGUAUGUCGCCCUGUCAUCACCAGGCCAGCUUUACCUGUGGCUACAAGUUCCUUAGACUCUGGACAAAGGGCCUCUGUCAUCUCCACAUUUGACUUUCUCAGAUUCCUAAUCUGAGUCAUGAACUUGGAAGGUACUUUCAAACCUCACUGUUGAUUUUGACAACCUGAAAGCCCACAACUGGGGGUGAAGGGGAAAACACCCACUGGACUGAGAAGAAACGUG
rnacentral:lncRNA from 10 species